rnacentral:lncRNA from 1 species
CCGGUGUCCAUUGUUUAAGGCUGAGCAUAGUUUUGGUUUUCUCUACAAACCUCCCUCGGCUCAUGCAGGGGUUACUGCUUCCUGGGGAGCAGCCGGGGUUGAUUCUGUUGAUAGCAUUAUGUAGUAUUUACUGACGUCUCCACCCGUGCUCCAGGAGGGCUUGGCAUCCUGGUGACCCGGAGGCUGGCGCAAUGCCUGGCAUGCAGGACAGAGGACUUCAGCCAACUGCAGGGAGAGGGAGAAGGAUCCAUGCCCUGGGGAAGCUAGGAAUCUCCCAAGACUUGUAGCUCUCAGAGAGUGACGGCUCUGGGGACUGCAGAUAUCAGGAUUGGGCCCCUGGAGUAUGCUGCCUCACACUGGAUGAGAGAUUCCAGCAGCUGGAUGUGUCACAGCUUCCAGCAGAAGACAAGUCACUCUUCCUGAGAGGAAAGUCCCCCAGUCCAGAUGCAGAACCAUCUUCUCAGGAUGGCCUAGAGACGGAGAAAAUGAAAGAUUAAAAUCAACAGGAAAGUCAUUCUCUCUGAGCUGUGUGUCAUCUCCAGUCUUCCUCAUUUCUUUCCAUUCCCUAGGAUGUAGCACAAGGCUCGAGCCCCACCUUCCUGUUUCUUAC